GACGAACGCUGGCGGCGUGCCUAAUACAUGCAAGUAGAACGCUGAAGGAGGAGCUUGCUUCUCUGGAUGAGUUGCGAACGGGUGAGUAGCGCGUAGGUAACCUGCCUGGUAGCGGGGGAUAACUAUUGGAAACGAUAGCUAAUACCGCAUAAGAGUAGAUGUUGCAUGACAUUUGCUUAAAAGGUGCAAUUGCAUCACUACCAGAUGGACCUGCGUUGUAUUAGCUAGUUGGUGGGGUAACGGCUUACCAAGGCGACGAUACAUAGCCGACCUGAGAGGGUGAUCGGCCACACUGGGACUGAGACACGGCCCAGACUCCUACGGGAGGCAGCAGUAGGGAAUCUUCGGCAAUGGACGGAAGUCUGGCCGAGCAACGCCGCGUGAGUGAAGAAGGGUUUCGGAUCGUAAAGCUCUGUUGUAAGAGAAGAACGAGUGUGAGAGUGGAAAGUUCACACUGUGACGGUAUCUUACCAGAAAGGGACGGCUAACUACGUG
rnacentral:rRNA from 1 species